rnacentral:sRNA from 1 species
CUUGGUCAUUUAGAGGAAGUAAAAGUCGUAAUAAGGUCUCCGUAGGUGAACCUGCGGAGGGAUCAUUACUGAGUUUUUAACUCUCCAAACCAUGUGAACUUACCACUGUUGCCUCGGUGGUCGGUGCUGGAAACAGUGCUGCCACCGGUGGACUACUAAACUCUUGUUAAUUUUUGUCAAAUCUGAAUCAAAACUAAGAAAUAAGUUAAAACUUUCAACAACGGAUCUCUUGGUUCUGGCAUCGAUGAAGAACGCAGCGAAAUGCGAUAAGUAAUGUGAAUUGCAGAAUUCAGUGAAUCAUCGAAUCUUUGAACGCACAUUGCGCCCAUUAGUAUUCUAGUGGGCAUGCCUGUUCGAGCGUCAUUUCAACCCUUAAGCCUAGCUUAGUGUUGGGAGACUGCCUAAUACGCAGCUCCUCAAAACCAGUGGCGGAGUCUGUUCGUGCUCUGAGCGUAGUAAUUUUUUAUCUCGCUUCUGCAAGCCGGCCAGACGACAGCCAUAAACCGCACCCUCUCGGGGGGCACUUUUUUAAUGGUUGACCUCGGAUCAGGUAGGAAUACCCGCUGAACUUAAGCAUAUCAAUAAGCGGAGGAAAAGAAACCAACAGGGAUUGCCCUAGUAACGGCGAGUGAAGCGGCAACAGCUCAAAUUUGAAAUCUGGCCUUCUGGUCCGAAUUGUAAUUUGUAGAGGAUGCUUUUGGUGCGGUGCCUCCCGAGUUCCCUGGAACGGGACGCCUUAGAGGGUGAGAGCCCCGUACGGUUGGACGCCUAGCCUCUUGUAAAGCUCCUUCGACGAGUCGAGUUGUUUGGGAAU